AUCUUUUCUCAUCCACUAUCCGCACCAAAAUUGACCCCCAUCUCCUACUCUGUUCUCUCUCUCUCGCGCGCGACUUUGCUUCCGCUGCUUCGCCGUAGAUGCUAAGAGAGACUUUCAAGUCCAAAACUCAAUAUGCUAUGGGGGAACUGCAAUACUGAGAAUCGCUUCCUAAUGACCAUCCAGAGAUUGCAGAUUUGUACCAGCUCUAGCUUCGGCAUCAACCAUCUCUUAAACACGAAUAGUUUGUCGCUUUCUCCAUUUUCAGGUUUGCAUUUGGAUUUAUCUCCUUGGAACAACUUAUUUUAUUGUGAUAUUUAUGGCUUUCUUGAAGGUGAAGCAAGUGAAGAAAGGUAGACAGUAACAAUGAAGAACUUGAUGGUAUUGGGUGAUCAUUGCUACAGUUUCAAAUGUUCUAGGAAUCAUUUAUUUGGUAGAACUUAUUGAAAACUUAUGUAUGCCAAACACUAUUGUAUAUUUUAUUUUUAUAUAUGGAUAAUACAAGUUAUAUUUUGGAUUAUGAUUUUAGUGAUGAAGAGUUUCAUUUGUGA